UCCGUUAUGGUGUAGUGGCUAACAUUAUCGCCUCUCAUGGUUUUGAUUUAUUAUUUCAUGACGCGAUAGCCCAGGGUUCGAUUCCCUGUAACGGAA